rnacentral:rRNA from 1 species
GAUGAACGCUGGCGGCGUGCUUAACACAUGCAAGUCGAACGAGAGAAGAUCGGUGCUUGCACUGAUCCGAUCGAGUGGCGGACGGGUGAGUAACGCGUGGGUAACCUGCCUCAUACAGGGGAAUAACAGUUGGAAACGGCUGCUAAAACCGCAUAAGCGCACAGUAUCGCAUGAUACAGUGUGAAAAACUCCGGUGGUAUGAGAUGGACCCGCGUCUGAUUAGCUAGUUGGUGAGGUAACGGCCCACCAAGGCAACGAUCAGUAGCCGGCCUGGGAGGGGGAACGGCCACAUUGGGACUGAGACACGGCCCAAACGCCUACGGGAGGCAGCAGUGGGGAAUAUUGCACAAUGGGGGAAACCCUGAUGCAGCGACGCCGCGUGAGUGAUGAAGUAUUUCGGUAUGUAAAGCUCUAUCAGCAGGGAAGAUAAUGACGGUACCUGACUAAGAAGCACCGGCUAAAUACGUGCCAGCAGCCGCCGUAA